CAGCAGCCGCGGUAAUACGUAGGGUCCGAGCGUUGUCCGGAAUUAUUGGGCGUAAAGGGCUCGUAGGCGGUUUGUCGCGUCGGGAGUGAAAACCAGCAGCUUAACUGCUGGCCUGCUUUCGAUACGGGCAGACUUGAGGCAUUCAGGGGAGAACGGAAUUCCUGGUGUAGCGGUGAAAUGCGCAGAUAUCAGGAGGAACACCGGUGGCGAAGGCGGUUCUCUGGGAAUGUUCUAACGCUGAGGAGCGAAAGUGUGGGGAGCGAACAGGAUUAGAUACCCGGGUAGUCCCUGUCUCUUAUAA
rnacentral:rRNA from 1 species